GAUGAACGCUAGCGGGAGGCCUAACACAUGCAAGCCGAGCGGUAUUUGUUCUUCGGAACAGAGAGAGCGGCGCACGGGUGCGGAACACGUGUGCAACCUGCCUUUAUCUGGGGGAUAGCCUUUCGAAAGGAAGAUUAAUACCCCAUAAUAUAUUGAGUGGCAUCAUUUGAUAUUGAAAACUCCGGCGGAUAGAGAUGGGCACGCGCAAGAUUAGAUAGUUGGUGAGGUAACGGCUCACCAAGUCAAUGAUCUUUAGGGGGCCUGAGAGGGUGAUCCCCCAAAAUUGUAACGGGAACCCGACCCGGACUCUAACGGGGGCAGGAAUGGGGGAUAUUUGGACAUGGGUUUGGGGCUGAUUCCACCCAUCCGGGUGAAAGACGAACGGCCUAUGGGUUUUAAAAUUCUUUUGGAUAAGGAUAAACCUACUCUCGUGAGAGUAGCUGAAGGUACUAUACGAAUAAGCACCGGCUAACUCCGUG
rnacentral:rRNA from 1 species